UUUAGUUUGGUUUUGGCUAUAAGGCAUUAACUGUACAUUAAGUUGAUACAUGGUAAAGAAGUUUAUUAUAUUGUGAGUAGAAAUUAAUUUUUUAUUAAUCUAUAUGAUGAUAUAUUAAAAUUAAUUAGUAAUAUUAAAAAGUUAUGAUAUUUAGAUAAUUUCACAACACCAGUACAGAAAUUUAUUAAAAUAAUGAAAGUUGGUAAUAGAUAAAUGUAGUAAGAACUAGUAAAACAUUGUGCCAGCAACUGCGGUUAUACAAUUGGUUCAAGUUAAUGAAUUUUCGGCUUAAAAGGUAGUUAGAAAAUAGUAAGUAAGAUAUAAAAAUAUUUUAUGAUAGGUUAAAUUUGUAAUAAAAUUAUAGUAUCUAAAAUGUCUUAUGUUUGAGUCUGCGAAAUUUUAGGUAAAAACUGGGAUUAGAUACCCCACUAUUCUAAAAUUUAAAUUUUAAUAUAUGUUUGCCAGGGUACUACGAGAAUUAAUCUUAAAACCCAAAAGACUUGGCGGCACCUUAUAUCUUUUUAGGGGAACCUGUCCUGUAAUCGAUAAUCCUCGAAUAACCUGACCUUUUUUAGUUUUUCAGUUUAUAUACCGCCGUCGUCUGGUCACUUUUUAAAAAUAAAGAAGUGAGCACAAUGAAUAUGAAUUAUAUUUCAUUACGUCAGGUCAAGGUGUAACUAAUAAGAAGGAAGAGAUGGGUUACAAUUUGUAAAUAAAAAUUAUGGAAUAUAAUGUGAAAUUAAUUAUAUGAAGGUGGACUUAAUAGUAAAAUUGAAGUAGAGAGUCAAUUUGAAUGUUGCUCUAGGUGUGCACACAUCGCCCGUCGCUCUCGUUUUGAAAUGAGAUAAGUCGUAACAAAGUAGGUGUAACGGAAGUUGCUCCUAGAU
rnacentral:ncRNA from 1 species